rnacentral:rRNA from 1 species
CUUAGGAAUCCCUAAAUCACCGCCUGCCCACUCAUUGUGCAUUCUUGGACGGAGAUCCUGCCCCUGUUGUCAACCUUUGCUGACGAUUUGGGCCUACUCGGCUUUCCAUUUUCUAAUUAGCGGAUCUCUCCCCGAACGCAGACUAAUCGAUCAACCACUCCAUUCUCGGGUGGUUCCGCUGCUAGUCAUCGACCAGACUCUCCUACUAGUCGGUGUGACCCUGACUCUGUGCCGGGUCUGAGGAUGCCCUCCGUCGUCACCCCUUAAAAGGCGUUACCCGCUUUCGACUGCCUCGUUCUGGCGCACCCCCUCCUUCCAAGAACCUAACAGUUGGGGAAAAGAGUCCCUUCUUGUGUUACUGCCAUGGACUCCUUUUUCGUAGCCGAUUGAGGCACGGUCGUCGGCGCCAUUAUGCCCCCUACGUUCGCAAUAGGCCUUACUAACCCGCAUUUCUCAGGCAUCCAUCAGUAGGUUCAGACGACAAUUUCUCGCUCCGAAUUGGAGCAUUUCCGUCACCUUUGACCUUCUGAUCUCACAUCAUCCCCGUCUCCCUUAAGGACCACAUCGCCACUUUACGCAUCUCUAGUCCUUCUUGUGGCCACCGCUUCCGCGAGACGACCCGAUAUUGACUGUGACUCCCUGCUUUCGAUCCCCUCGCUUACCCUAAUCUAUGGGGUCAUCAGGAUCGCCAUUUGCUACCUUUGAUCCACACCGGACAUAGCUGGGCCCGGCACGGCUUCGUUUGCGCAAUUCAAAGGGCGGACCCCUCAUGCGUGCGUUCACACUUUGAGUUUCCUUAACUGCCCCCGGGCGUGUUCGCCACCUCAUACACCAAAUUAAGCUACGUUGCGCUUCUUGGAAUGGUCCUGAACUGUAGAGACCUUAGAGGAACUUUCCCCUCUCACGGCAUUCCUUGGUCUUCUGUCCACGACGUACCGACAGCAGUCGAGCACAGCACUCUACAACCCAAUUCAGGGCGUUGCUCGCGUUGGGAGCAGCAAUCAACGGUAGUAAUUCAACCCUUGAGAUCGCUCUGACGGCCACUGUUUGGCCUCCUUCCACUCCUACUGCAGUUCAGUCGUACCGGGAAUGCAGGACCCGCUGUGUGCAUGAUGUUACGCUCCCUGUGUCUCGUCGGUUGGGCGCUCCCUCUCGCUUAGAGUGUUUGGGACCGUGUCAAGUCUAACGUCCGACGUUGAGCGGACGUACUUCCUCCUUAGCGAUCAUUAGCGUCCAGUCGUAUGACGCCACUUAGGCAAGGGCCCGGAACAUGUGUGGCGGGCAGUGUGGUACCUUCACUCGGUGCGGGCUUCAGUAAUGAGAUUGGGAAAGCCCCCUCCUCCCACGGCUUCCGCCCCAACUACUGACCCCA